UCUGCAGAUAAUUGUUGACUAAUUUUGCUAAAUUUCAAACUCUUAUGUAUUUCCGCUUCUAUAAUGCAUACUAGCUAGAUUUGCUUGAAAAAUUAAACUAAAUAUUAUUAUUUAUCACAGGGCCAUCGAAAGAUUGGGUCUUUCUAAGGUUCCAGUGAAGGCCCUCGUGAAUGCUGCGCAAGAAGUCAUUGGUGGAAUCAACUUGGCAUGCUGUAGGCACAGGCCAAGGCGCCAUGCUGCACACAAGUGCAUCGCCGGCUGCUAACUGUUUCCUGUCCUUGCCAUCAAAUGAUACCCAAGCAGAGCUUCUACUGUUGAAAGGAACUUGUACCCUUACUGUUACAUGUUCAGGUAAUAUCAGAGGCCGAAAAGACAAUGAAUGUGGACAAAUUGGUGUAAAGAGGAUGCCUGGAACCUGCAAUUACAGAAUAUAACAUUUAUAAGGUUUUACUAACAUAAAACGAAAACCAACAUAAAAUAUGAUCUAAUUUAGAUAGGUAAAUCAAGCUUCUUUAAAAGUGAAUUAAUAGUUGUGGGGCCGUGGCUGCACAUUCUAGUCUGACACAUCAAAGAAUGGGAGGGUCAACAGGAUAUUUAAAGAAAAUAUUGUAUUGUAAUGUACCUGUGGAUGGACCAUCGAUCCUCCAGCUGCCAAUGAAUAAGCAGUGCUACCCGAUGUUGUUGAUAAAAUUAACCCAUCACCUUGCACACAUGUGACAAAGGAGUUGUCACAAUAGCAUUCCAAAUUUGUGAGGUAGGAUGAUAUUCCACGGUCAAUCGUAACCUCAUUCAGAACAAGUAUAGGCUCGUCAGUUUCAACCUCAUUUGUUGCUGCAUCUCUAAUGACAUGGCAUUGUAAACGAUGUCGCAAUGUUAUAUUAAUUGGACCCCUAAGAAUUGAAUCAAGGCAAUCUCUGUAAUGUUCACUAUCUAAAAAAUGUUAAAGGAUACUUUUUGAGUUCAGACAAAGAGAAGGUAAUAAAUAUUUAAAGCAAUUGUAACUCCUGCAAAAGAGAAGCCAGUAUUAGCAAUGGAGAAUUUCUUUUCCACUUGAGGAAUUAAACUUCUUUGGAAAAUAUUAAGGAUACGAAACGGUGUCAUAAAGCCAAGAGAACCUAGAGAAAACGGAACAAUGGGAGGAACUGGUCCUUUGAACAUAGAUGCUGCCUGCAAGUAAAAAAAGGCAGAUAGUAACUUCUCCAAAGGCAGAUGAAAGGAAGAGAAGCACAAAAUAAAAAUAAGGCAGAUGUGGAUCAAACUGAAAGAACAUACCCAAAGAACAGUACCAUCCCCACCAAGAGUAACUACAAGAUCAACUUUUUUGUGCAGUAGAGAAAUUUCCUUGUCUGCGAACGAGUUCAUACAUAGUGAAAUAUCCAUAAAUAAAAAAGCAAAAUAUUGUGUCCCACAAAUUUGAGUUCAAACAGUGUUUAUAUUAGCAGUAGUGAAAUUCACUUGGUUAAAUCAAUGAUUCGCUAUAAGAUUGUGUAGCAAUUUACCAUCUUUCCAUGUUUUCACAAAGUUGAAGUAAGACGAUUCUGUCAGAAGUUCACCCCUCACACGUGGUUCCACGUAAAUGUUUAACUUUUUAUUUUCUUCCAACCAUCUGGUAAUGGAAAUUGAAAAAUUAGGCACAGAAAAUUUUUUGCUUAAUUGCACAAGCAUUUGUAGAUAAGAACUAUUAAUAUCAAACUACGAGCUCUGGAACAAUUUAGAUAUUCUUUUCAGAUAAAGAAAUGAAAAUAAUGCAACACGAGAAACCACAAUUAAAACUCUUUUCUAUAGAAUAUUUUCCAAAGCAUUGAGGAACUUCAUCGUGAAAUGUACAUUAUUAACAGAUACAUGUUCAUGGUCAGUAAAAUCAUUUACAAAUACCUACACAAUAAUGAAAGCAACUAAAUUGAGAAACUCAUUUCAGAAUUGAAAAAUGUAAAACAAAAAAAAAAAAAAAAAAGUCUCCUUCAUCUCCAAGCGUCCUUCUCUUUCAGCCAGGACUGAACCUCUUGUAAAUCUGCAAAGGCUUGCUAACAGAUUUCAUCAUCAUCUGCAGAUAAUUGUUGACUAAUUUUGCUAAAUUUCAAACUCUUAUGUAUUUCCGCUUCUAUAAUGCAUACUAGCUAGAUUUGCUUGAAAAAUUAAACUAAAUAUUAUUAUUUAUCACAGGGCCAUCGAAAGAUUGGGUCUUUCUAAGGUUCCAGUGAAGGCCCUCGUGAAUGCUGCGCAAGAAGUCAUUGGUGGAAUCAACUUGGCAUGCUGUAGGCACAGGCCAAGGCGCCAUGCUGCACACAAGUGCAUCGCCGGCUGCUAACUGUUUCCUGUCCUUGCCAUCAAAUGAUACCC
rnacentral:lncRNA from 1 species